UACGUGAGGGUGCAAGCGUUAAUCGGAAUUACUGGGCGUAAAGCGUGCGCAGGCGGUUAUGUAAGACAGGCAGUGAAAUCCCCGGGCUUAACCUGGGAAUUGCUGCUUGUGACUGCAUAGCUAGAGUAUGUCAGAGGGGGGUAGAAUUCCACGAUGUAGCAGUGAAAUGCGUAGAGAUGUGGAGGAAUACCAUGGCGAAGGCAGCCCCCUGGGAUAAUACUGACG
rnacentral:rRNA from 1 species